ensembl:lncRNA novel transcript, antisense to CELF4
AGUCGCCGGCCGGCCGGUCGGCCCGCCAGCCCGCUCCUGCUCCCCGGCAAAGUUGGGAGGGAAAGGUGUACUCACCUUUGUGCAUGCCUGUGAACCUGUCCUUCAGAACCAACAUGGCCCUAACAGUGGGCAGCAUGAAACUGAGGAACACAGCAGGAAGCUGAUUUAGGCAAACUCAGCAGGAAGUGUUCCCUGUGAACCCAUGAGACUUCAUCCCUGCGUUGGUCUGGCUGGCUUUCCCUGUGAGAUACAGGUUCCUCCUGAAGAGCUGAAGCUCCAUUCCAGCUCUAGACUUCUCCUUGCUUUCAGACUUCAAGAUGAGAAGCAUUUUUCCAGUCCACAAGUGUUAGAGGACACUGCCGAUGAUGUGUGUUUUGCCCAGGCUGGACUCAGCUUCUUUGUCUCGCAGCCUGGCGAAGAGGCAGUGCUGUGCCAGGAAAUAGCACCCAGGCAGGACUCCAGGGUGGGGACCGCUAAUCUGGCUUUGCCACAAGACCACUGUGGGAGGAGGUACUUUCUCUUUGUCAGAAGAACAGAAGCAAAUGGUCUGCUUAUAGCCUUUUAUGUGACGAUGUGCCCUUUCUGCCACUGCAAGGGAAAGAGUCAUCUUUGCUCCUCCAUUUUGGUUUAUCCUAAGAAAGACCAACACUAUGUCUAGCCCAGAGAGAGAAACACAUAAAAUAAAUACAAGUUAAAUCUUCAAUGGGACAUCAAGUUCCAUGUACAAGGCUAACCUAGACUAUAAAGUCCUUGAAAAUGUACACUUGAUAAGAGUAGGGGUCUUGCCUGCCUUAUCCACUGCAUAGCUCCAGUCAAGAGAAGUCAUUGCCACGGAAAAGGCACCCAACAAACAUGCCUUUAACUUGUUGAAUGAACCCAUCAAAUUCCUGAUAGUGGAAGUUUGGACACUGGAGUCGCAGGUGGGGAAAGAAACCAUGAUGCAAUAGGACCCCAAUUACACGUGGGUUCUGCUUAUGUUAGAAAAGCUUCCUGACUUUGUGUGCAGUCAAGUCCUGUGGCUUGUGGCCAAGGGAGGAUCUUUUCUUUUUUACCCAUGGAAGAUGACAUUGGUAUGUUGGAGUAAUGAUCCAGAAGAUAAACAUGAAUACAGACAAAUUCUGAAUUUGGAUUCAAAUAACAAGUUGCACAAAAACAAGGUACUCAGUUAUUUCUGAGUAUUGCUCUGUGCGUGGCACUGUGCUGUACAUUGAGGAUAUGAAGAUGAGUAAGUCUCAGUCUAUAUCUUUAGAGACCUCACAGCCUGGAAAGAGAGUUAAAAAAUAAUUACUAUUCAACAUGGCAAUGGUUAUAAAGGAGCAGAUUUUCCAAACUGGUGUUUCAAGGAACAUUCUUUGGCAGGAUGUUAAAAACAGGAAACAGCAAGCCUGAAAAAGGAAAUUGACGAAGAAACAAUUUGGUUAUUCUUGACUCAGUGGCCAAGGAGGGAACACAGAAUCAUGGCAGCAAAGAUGAAGCUAAACAGCCUGUGUAUACAUAUGGAAAAUUUAAAUUCACAUGCACAGGACAGGCUCAUGCUGUCCUUGCCCAUGCUUAGUCUGCCUAUGGCAAUAAAACUCUGAUUGACAAUCCAGAGCUACAGUUGCUAAGAUAAGCCACUAAGGUGGACCAUUAAGGUGGCAGUGUCAACAUUUGCAGGGGUUUAGAGAAGGGAAAGAAAUUGAGGCAUCACCCAGUGGGAGAGAGAAGUGUACAGAUAGCUUUCAUCAUGGAGAAAAAUAACCCUAAUAUCAAAAUGACCAGGUUUUUGUGAUGAGGACUUGACUGUUUCUACAAGCAGCUAGUUUGUAUUUGAGUGUUGAGAUUUUUGAAGCAUUUGGCAUGAUUAGCAUUGAGUGAAGUAGCAAAAAACAGCAUCUUCAGCAACUUUAUAUGGCCUUCAGAGAAUGAUGCUCAAACUUCUUGGCUGAUAUUCAAGUUUCUGCCCAUCAUAUCCUUGCCUAUUUUGACAGCCACAUCUCCUUCUCUUCUACUGGACUCUUCCCCAGCCAGACUGAGCUCCUCUCUGCUUCCCAAACAGGACAUGUACUUUUCUCUAUCUUUGCAUCAUCUGCUCAUAUUGUUCCCUACUCUUGGAAUGCCCUUCCCAAGCCCUCUAUGUGCAUGCGCCAUCCAGGAACUGGGAUGAUAACUCUUGGACGAAAUAGGAACUGUUGAGAAGCAGCAGGAAGUGGGUCACCUUAAACACAGAAGAAACCAAAGGAAAGAUUUGUUUAAAAUGAACUGGAACUUGAGGCUAGGAAGUUCCUGGAUACCUAGACAGCUGGAAGAGGAGCAUGAACCAGGAGGCCAGAAGAGACUUCACUCCAAUCUGGUGCCCUCACUAUGGCACAACUCAUCCAAAGAGAAAAGCUCCAUGAAAACAUGUUGAGCAAAAUUAUUCGUUCUCAUUUCUUAACGUAGCUUUCUGAUUUAAUAGUAAAAAAAUGCUUGUUUUGGUUUAAAUUUCUCUAGUUUUUAGAUACCAUUUUCUCUCCCAAACUAGGUCAUUUGAAUUAUCUGCUGAUAGUUCAAAUCUGUAGAUAAUUUGCUUUUACUCACAUUCCUAAGAACUAAUUACCUGUACAUAUAAAAUGAUGAAAUCUCAUUAUAUUUUCUUUUAAAACUCUGACAUGCAUUUAAUUACAUUAGUCAAUUAUUACUGUACAUGCUGAGGAUUUGCUAUUGACCAGCUCGUGCUGGAAUAUUUACUGCACAGA